AAAAACAAUUAUGUGUUUUGGUAAACUCUAUUUCAAGUUAAAAUCAUAUCAGAGUUACAGCUCUGUGGAUAUACAAGAUGUUUUCCAUCCUAUUUGCCUUGGUACAAGUUGGAGUAUGUUUUGCCUUUAGAUUUAGUUAAGAAGAAUAUAAUCCAUAUGUUAAUUCUAUAAUGGCCUGGAUUUACCUCAAUCAAUACUUAAUAUUAUAUUUUAGUUUAGAAGAAUAUAAUCCGUAUGUUAAUCCUAUAAUGACCUGGAUACACCUCAAUACUUAAUAUUAUAUUUUAGUUAAGAUGAAUAUAAUCCGUAUGUUAAUCC